CUUCAGACCUCACAUGCCUGGUGUAUUUUCUUUGUGAUGUCUUCUCUAUAUUCCUGUUAAAAAUUGUGCUCUUUACAAAAACUUUCCCUAAAGAAAACACUUUAAUUUUAGUCAGUUGGGCUUUGAUAUAUGCUAGUUACAAUGCCUGCCGUAUUUCAGUCCCUGGAUGCACACAGGAAAUCUGUUCUCGUUUACAAAACAGAUGCUUCUGUGCUUCCUGUGAAUCAGUGGUCACAUGUACCUUUGGGGUUGGGGAGAAGGAAGCAACUGCUUUUCUUUUUUUUUAGCUUGAACAGACUGGGAUUUCUAAAGGGCAAGUCAGGAUCGAUCUUCCUGCCCUCCCCCACCUCCGUUCCUUCCCCCUUUUCUCUCUCCUGUAUUAAUCUUAAGUUUCUUUCAUACAAAAUAUUUAAGAUGUGCAUAAUUGCAGGGCAAAAUGUCAAGCAGUCAGUUUAAUUUGCUGAUGAAUAUGGGGAAUUAAUGUUUCGAAACAGUUGUGGGAUUCCGCAUUAUGAAUUAGCAGGGGAGGGGUGAUGUUUUGUUGACAUUUAUUCAAAGUCUUGAUUGCUUGUUUGGCUUGUGCUUUGCCUUGUAGGUGGAUUUUGCCUUCACUGUAUGGCAGAGCUUCCCGGAGAGGAUUGUGGGAUAUCCUGCACGCAGCCAUUUCUGGGAUAACUCAAAGGAGCGAUGGGGAUAUACAUCCAAGUGGACGAAUGACUACUCCAUGG
rnacentral:lncRNA from 1 species